rnacentral:rRNA from 1 species
CGUACGUCCGUCGGCGUACGAGGACGAACGCUGGCGGUGUGCUUCACACAUGCAAGUCGAACGAGGUAGCAAUACCUAGUGGCGGACGGGUGAGUAACGCGUGGGAAUCUGCCUUUAGAUGGGGGAUAACGAGCCGAAAGGUUCGCUAAUACCGCAUAGGUCGCAAGAUUAAAGGAGUAAUCCGUCUAGAGAUGAGCCCGCGUCCGAUUAGCUAGUUGGUAGGGUAAAGGCCUACCAAGGCGACGAUCGGUAGCUGGUCUGAGAGGAUGAUCAGCCACAAUGGGACUGAGACACGGCCCAUACUCCUACGGGAGGCAGCAGUGGGGAAUUUUACGCAAUGGGCGAAAGCCUGACGUAGCGACACCGCGUGAGCGAAGAAGCCCUUUGGGGUGUAAAGCUCUGUCGGCUGGAACGAAAAAAAUGACGGUACCAGCAAAGGAAGCAUCGGCUAACUACGUGCCAGCAGCCGCGGUAAGACGUAGGAUGCGAGCGUUGUCCGGAUUUAUUGGGC